rnacentral:rRNA from 1 species
CUCUGUGACUCCUACGGGAGGCAGCAUGGGGGAAUAUUGCACAAUGGGCGCAAGCCUGAUGCAGCCAUGCCGCGUGUGUGAAGAAGGCCUUCGGGUUGUAAAGUACUUUCAGCAGUGAGGAAGGCGGGUACGUUAAUAGCGUGCUCGUUUGACGUUAGCUGCAGAAGAAGCACCGGCUAACUCCGUGCCAGCAGCCGCGGUAAUACGGAGGGUGCGAGCGUUAAUCGGAAUUACUGGGCGUAAAGCGCAUGCAGGCGGCCUGUUAAGUCAGAUGUGAAAGCCCCGGGGCUUAACCUCGGAAUUGCAUUUGAAACUGGCAGGCUAGAGUCUUGUAGAGGGGGUAGAAUUUCAGGUGUAGCGGUGAAAUGCGUAGAGAUCUGAAGGAAUACCAGUGGCGAAGGCGGCCCCCUGGACAAAGACUGACGCUCAGAUGCGAAAGCGUGGGGAGCAAACAGGAUUAGAUACCCUGGUAG